UAUAUAUAUAUAUAUAUAUAUAUUAACGAUAAUUUAAGUAUAAUAUUGAUCGUUAUAAAUAAUAAGAAAUUGUACUUUCUUGCUGCAAACCCCUUUUCUUAUUAGACUGAGGUCCCACAGGGAUGAAUGGAAUAAAGAAUUGGUGUCAUCCCAUGGUGUUAUGACCGAUGGUAAAACUCUUUCCAAAGUGGAUUGUCUGAGUUGCUGUACAAAAUGUAUAAAAGAGGCAGUCACGUGCGAUCAGAUUGGGACGUUAAAUUAGAUGCGUAGAGUAGAGAAAAUACUGGUCUGUCUGUACGUCGGUAAACCCUUGCAACACAUGUUUUAGGGGUUUGUAGCUAUACAAGCUGUUCUUUAUACAUUUAUUUUACUUAUCAAUGGCAUUCAAGCUUAUCUUCCCUUUAAACCAAUAGAACCCUAUUGCAGGACCUAUACCUAGUGUAUUAGUUGUUUUAUAUUUUUUUUAUAAUUAGCCAUGCAUUAAAUGUUGCUAUUGGACGUUAAACAAAUAUCAAUCAAUCAU
rnacentral:lncRNA from 1 species